UCUGAGUCAUAGGCAUCAGGGAAGGCUUUUCGUAGGAGUAGAUGUCUAUACCAAAUCCUGAAGAAUGAAUAGAAACAAGCUGUUAGAGAAGUUGGUGGAAAGUAGGGAGAUAAAGAGAAGAAUAAGAAUAUUUACCAGGAAAACAAAAUAGAGAGCACCAAACCCCAGAGGAAAGAGACAGCAUGGAGUGUGGCUGGAGCAGAAAAUGAAGAUCAUUCUGGUGUGAAAAUUGGUUUGGUUGGGGAUCAAGCCCGGAGCACUGGAAACAAAUUAGGAUACUAAAUCAGUUCUCAAAAUCGAAGUUGAAUGUCCUAACAAUAGGAAGAGAUUGAUUGGAGACAGAUUAAGGAGAUGGAACCCGUAAAAGACAUACUCAUAGGAUGAAGAGACUGUGUUAAAAAGGGGACAGAAAAAUGAUGGGAUACCUUGCUUGCACCUUUCCAGGUACUUCCAGGUAAACAUUAAACAAUGGUAUGGAUAUCAGAAAAUGACACUACCGUAGAAACAAGCAGCCAAGCAUAAUAUUGGUGAAGACAGGCUUUAUUGUUGGACAAACUGGCUUUGGAAUAAUAUGACGGAUCACACUUGCUUGUCACGUACUCUUGGGAUAAAAUUAUGUAAAUUAUUUGAUCUUCAGUUUCCUCAUCCAUAAAAUGGGAAUAAUAACAUGAA